rnacentral:rRNA from 1 species
CUACGGGUGGCUCCAGUGAGGAAUAUUGCACAAUGGAGGAAACUCUGAUGCAGCAACGCCGCGUGGAGGAUGACGCAUUUCGGUGUGUAAACUCCUUUUAUGAGUCAAGAAAAUGACGGUAGCUCAUGAAUAAGCACCGGCUAACUCCGUGCCAGCAGCCGCGGUAAUACGGAGGGUGCAAGCGUUACUCGGAAUCACUGGGCGUAAAAGACGCGUAGGCGGGAUAUCAAGUCAGGUGUGAAAUCCUACAGCUUAACUGUAGAACUGCACUUGAAACUGGUAACCUAGAGUAUGGGAGGGGGAGAUGGAAUUAGUGGUGUAGGGGUAAAAUCCGUAGAUAUCACUAGGAAUACCUAAAGCGAAGGCGAUCUCCUGGAACAUAACUGACGCUAAGGCGUGAAAGCGUGGGGAGCAAACAGGAUUAGAUACCCUCGUAGUC